rnacentral:rRNA from 1 species
AGAGUUUGAUUAUGGCUCAGAACGAACGCUGGCGGCGCGUCUUAAGCAUGCAAGUCGAGCGGUAAGUUGUAGCUUGCUACAACCUAGAGCGGCGGACUGGUGAGUAACGCGUGGGUGACGUACCCUCUGGACGGGGAUAGCUCCUAGAAAUAGGAGGUAAUACCGGAUAAGGUCGUAUGUGUCAGAGGCAUACGAGGAAAGGUUCUUUUGAACCGCCGGAGGAGCGGCCCGCGUACUAUUAGCUAGUUGGUGAGGUAACGGCCCACCAAGGCGACGAUAGUUACCCGGCCUAAGAGGGUGAACGGGCACAUUGGGACUGAGAUACGGCCCAGACUCCUACGGGAGGCAGCAGCUAAGAAUAUUCCGCAAUGGACGAAAGUCUGACGGAGCGACGCCGCGUGGAUGAUGAAGGCCGGAAGGUUGUAAAAUCCUUUUAGGUGCGAGGAAUAAGUGAGGUGAGAGAAACGCCUCAUGGUGACGGUAGCACCUGAAUAAGCAACGGCUAAUUACGUGCCAGCAGCCGC